CGGCCAGCAAGUUACCCGGCUCUUUUACAUUAACAGGUAAUCUUUCUCCUUGCUCUUUUACAUUAACAGGCAGUGUUUGUCCUUUGGGGAUGACAAUGUAACUCUCUCUCCGACGUGUUUCAGGAGAGGAGACUCGUACAACUCAUAUUAUAGACUGCCCAUAUGUAAUGGCUCAGUAUGUGUUGGGAGCCGAAACAAUGGCGGCAAUUACAAAUGAAUCGCCAAAUAAACCAUGUCAAUAAGAACAGGGCCUCUGCUCAGUCUCACGGCACAAAGCGUCACAACACAAGAGCUAAAGAUGUUAUUAUAGUUUUAUUGGUAAGUACAAGCAGAACAAUAAAAGGAUACGAUGGGCUGCACCAUCACUUUCUGCACUUUCUGGCCUCCUUGCCCGCGGUACGCCAUCUCUGCUGCCUCGUUAGUUGCUAGUUCCCAGUAGCUAAGACGCCGUGGGUGACGUCACGAACGUCUCCGUCACGUGACCUUCGGCGCCUUCGUCAAAUGGCGGUCACGCGGGGAUUGGCUGGAGCCGUACGCUACUACAGUGCUCCACUUAGUAGUUGUUUACGCUGACUAGCUUUAGGAUUUUUCUUUGGGGCAGGAUUUUAUUCAGUCUUCCCUUGCGGCUGCGAACCUGUUACAUACUUGCUGGUCUGUGUAAGUGCCUAGAUGACAUCGGCAACCAGCACCUCCCACCAAUGCACGCCCAGUCCUUCUGAGUGGCUGCUGCUCAGUGAAAGUGAAAAAAGAGAUGGCCGACGGCUGCCCUGGAUUACUGUAGCUGUAACAGGACAGGAAAUCAGGAGAAAGGGAGAAGCGUGAUAAGAAAUGCUAAGAUAACAAAUAAAGUGGACCCAAAAGGAGACUGGAGGCUAAGCCGAGCAGAGGAGACUCGCGUUCCC